rnacentral:tRNA from 1 species
GGAGAGGUCGCAUAGUGGUCUAGUGCGGCGGUCUUGAAAACCGUUGGCCCGCAAGGGUCCGCGAGUUCGAAUCUCGCCNNGUUUU